rnacentral:tRNA from 1 species
GGAGUUAGCUCAGUGGUAGAGUGCCUGCCUAGCAAGCACAAGGUACUAAGUUCAAUCCCUAGUACCUCCA